rnacentral:rRNA from 1 species
CCUACGGGAGGCAGCAGUGGGGAAUAUUGGGCAAUGGGCGCAAGCCUGACCCAGCAACGCCGCGUGAAGGAAGAAGGCUUUCGGGUUGUAAACUUCUUUUAAGCGGGAAGAGCAGAAGACGGUACCUCUUGAAUAAGCCACGGCUAACUACGUGCCAGCAGCCGCGGUAAUACGUAGGUGGCAAGCUUUGUCCGGAUUUACUGGGUGUAAAGGGCGUGCAGCCGGGCUGACAAGUCAGAUGUGAAAUCCCGUGGCUCAACCACGGAACUGCAUUUGAAACUGGCGGUCUUGAGUAUCGGAGAGGCAGGCGGAAUUCGUAGUGUAGCGGUGAAAUGCGUAGAUAUGAGGAGGAACACCAGUGGCGAAGGCGGCCUGCUGGACGACAACUGACGGUGAGGCGCGAAAGCGUGGGGAGCAAACAGGAUUAGAUACCCUUGUAGUC